GACGAACGCUGGCGGCGUGCUUAACACAUGCAAGUCGAACGGAUUGCUUGGUGCUUGCACUGAGUGGUUAGUGGCGAACGGGUGAGUAACACGUGAGUAACCUGCCCCCUUCUUUGGGAUAAGCACCUGAAAGGGUGUCUAAUACUGAUUAUUCUGCUGGAAUCGCAUGGUUUUGGUUGGAAAGGAUUUUUCUGGUGGGGGAUGGGCUCGCGGCUUAUCAGCUUGUCGGUGGGGUAAUGGCUUACCAAGGCUUGGACGGGUAACCGGCCUGAGAUGGUGACCGGUCACAUUUGGACUGAGAUACGGCCCAGACUCCUACGGGAGGCAGCAGUGGGGAAUAUUGCACAAUGGACGAAAGUCUGAUGCAGCGACGCCGCGUGAGGGAUGAAGGCCUUCGGGUUGUAAACCUUUUUCGCUUUUGACCAAGGCAGCAUUUUGGUGUUGUUGAGGGUAUGAGGUAAAGAAGCUCCGGCUAACUACGUGCCAGCAGCCGCGGUAA
rnacentral:rRNA from 1 species